rnacentral:rRNA from 1 species
AUUGAACGCUGGCGGCAUGCCUUACACAUGCAAGUCGAACGGCAGCACGGGUGCUUGCACCUGGUGGCGAGUGGCGAACGGGUGAGUAAUACAUCGGAACAUGUCCUGUAGUGGGGGAUAGCCCGGCGAAAGCCGGAUUAAUACCGCAUACGAUCUACGGAUGAAAGCGGGGGACCUUCGGGCCUCGCGCUAUAGGGUUGGCCGAUGGCUGAUUAGCUAGUUGGUGGGGUAAAGGCCUACCAAGGCGACGAUCAGUAGCUGGUCUGAGAGGACGACCAGCCACACUGGAGCUGGGACACGGCCCAGACUCCUACGGGAGGCAGCAGUGGGGAAUUUUGGACAAUGGGCGAAAGCCUGAUCCAGCAAUGCCGCGUGUGUGAAGAAGGCCUUCGGGUUGUAAAGCACUUUUGUCCGGAAAGAAAUCCUUGGCCCUAAUACGGUCGGGGGAUGACGGUACCGGAAGAAUAAGCACCGGCUAACUACGUG